CCUUAGAAAGGGGAAAUCGAUGGAGUGAGUCAUGGUAGUUUGUGUACGUGCUGAAGUGUACAAAGUCGUGUGUUACGUCACGAAAUGGUUGUAAGUACCAAAUACAACGUCAAAUGUUCGAAAAUCAGUUUUCACAGCUUUUUUAAUGGAAGGAAUUUGUCUACACACUACGACUGGAACCAUCUGGGAAUGUGGCCGUGGACGCUAUGGAGAAAUUUUAAAGACAAGUGAUAUUUAAAUGUGGCUUUUUUUAAAUGUGUACCAUUUUUUUUUUAAGAUGGCAAACAUCCAGAGAUGACAACAACUGCUCGAAACAACCCCCCGAUUAAGAUGAUUGCAAACCGAUAGCAAAAAAGGCCAACAGUUGUACUUGUGAUUGCAAAGGUAUGCUUCACAGUACUGUAUGCGCUACAAACCACCCCAACCAAGAGGAUUGUUAACCGAUUGUGAAGAAGACCAACACUUACAGCUAGUGAUUGCAAAGGUAUGCUUCGCAGUACUGUAUGCGCUACAAACCACCCCAACCAAGAGGAUUGUUAACCGAUUGUGAAGAAGACCAACACUUAUAGCUAAUGGUAAAUAAAACCAAUCAAUUAAGAUCGAUUUAGAAAAGCAAGAGGCUUAGCAAAUCGAUAAUAACUGGUUCAGUUUCAUUUGUUGGAAGUUUGGCUUCUUUCAAAGUUCAUUUAACGCAAUGUGAUUAUUCAUUUGUUUAAAGACAAAAAAGGUAAAAAACAAAUGAAUUUUUAUAAAACAAGUGACUACCAGAAACAUUUUAAUAAACAGUUCAAUUAUUUCGCUGCUACAACAAAUUCAAGCAAUCCUACCUUUCGCAGAACAUGUCCAUUUGUCCAUGUUGUUCGAAGAGCUUAUUUUCACCAUAAAAGCCCUCUGCUAUCAUCCAAAAUUAUUAAAUUGAUUUAACCAAUGUAGUAGAACGAUUUAAUGAUAUUAAAGCUGGGGGCCCAAGCCAUCAUUAAUUUUUUGAUAUCUUAUAAAAACCAUUUUCUGUAAAAAUAUACGAAAACGUCUUAAUUCGCGUCAAAUUAUCGUAAAACAUCGAUUAUUUAACAAUUUCGGCCGAAUCAUACGAAGUAAUCGUAUUUUUUUUAUCAAAAAAAGCAGUACAGAAAUAACGCAUUGUUACAUUGAGGUGGUACUAUCAAAAUACCAAGAAAAAUAAUUAAUGGCCGCAAAAACUAAUACGCACAUCGUAUUCUGCUAUAUUUAAUUAUUAGAUUUCGACAAUUGCAUUAGUUCUAGCAGAAAUUUUUAAUCAAGAAAAUUUAAUUUCUUACCUAGAACAAGCAAGGGCUACUCAAUCCGUCCAUUGUUGAGUGAAAAAUGGCCGCUGCCAGCUACAGGCCGGAAACCGCGAACUACGUAUUUCUAAGCCGUCUUAGUUAUCUGUAUCGCUUCUUUUUAAGUAAAAAUUGAAGAACGCACAUUUUGUUUCAAAGUGAAUGUUUUACGCCUUACAUUCUUUGUUUUAUUUAUUUAUGCGAAACAGUCGAUUGUCCUCAAUAAAAAAUUAAACAAUAAAUAAAUUCAUUGAAUUAGUGGUAUCAUUUUGUAUGAAGUAAAGUAUUAAUAUUAAAUGUUUCUACAAGAACUGCAAAAAUUGUUUCAUUGGACUUACUGCAGUUUAUUAAUUUAUUAUGUUAAAUGAUUUUGGGUAAAUUUCAAUUAGAGCUACAACUAGAGGUCUAAGGCAAUGUUCAAUUAGGUUUCUGAAAGAAUUGUCGUUCAGAUGUUUCAAGGAAACUCGUUAACAAUAGAUUCAAAACAUUUUUUGUUUUUUCUUUAAAUGAUUUCUUUUGUUUUUUUAUCAUUAUUAUAGUGUAUCAUCAACUGUUUACGUAUAAGGUAUCUAUUAUUUUUUGUAAACUGCAUUAUAUACGAACGGCUGUUUUAAUAAAAAUAUAAAAUACAAGUGA